UCAGAUUUGGAUUCAGAAGACAAAACUACAUAGGAAUCCAUCGCUAGGUGGCCUCUAGAUAUUUCAGGAGCGGCAACGCAAUAACACACACACUUUUGCGAAUUUAUAAA
rnacentral:lncRNA from 1 species